rnacentral:lncRNA from 1 species
GAGAUAAAGAUGAGUGCUGCGAAUGUUCUGUGUUCCCCUUUUUUUUGGCUGUCUGGACUGUGGAUUGAGGCAUGCAGGAGUAAACAAACCUACCUCUUUGGUUGCUCAUUCCUUGCAGCAUGUGUGUGGAGGUGUGGACAGCUCAUCCACUGGCCUGACUGCCUGAGCCAGCACAAAGAAUGGUGGGCUGAUGAGGACAAGGUGAGCUCUGAGAAGAAUUGAUUAUACCCUUGCUCUGCUGCAGAACCUCAUCACCUUAAUAUUGCAAAAGUUCAUCUGCAUCCUGCAGUGCUGGUGUCCUGCUAGGAAAUGAGGAGCAGUUCCCUCAAUAAGGUGACUUACUUCUGACUAAUGACAAAUACUGCAGGGUCUGGCCCUGCUCCUCCUCUGUAUAAAUGUAAUUUUGUACAAAUAGUCACAUUCCUGUGCAACCACUGGAUGUAUUACUUUGAUCAUUUGACAAAACGAGCAGAGGCAGGUAAUUAAUUUUGGUUAUUAGGUGUUUGCCCAGUAUUCACAAGUAGGAGUGGAUCAUGGUUACUCUGCCUCUGGGGCUAUUUAUUUGCAUAAUUUCCUUUGUUUGGUAACAAUGUACCGUCCAGACGUUGGGGAAGAGUCGUAUAAUCCCUUUAUGGUGGAAUCUGUGUUUACUAAUACCCAUGCAGAGUUUGUGUGAAUGUGUUUGUGGCCAGUCUCUGCCCACUGACCCAGCCUGUGUUCCCAUGCAGGAGGACCAGUGGGCACCUGCCCAUUUCAGGAGGGAGCCACAGCCCUUGGCCAAACGCAGUGUGCUGGAGUCAUGUGUUUCCCAAACUGCUCCAAAUCUCAAGGCAAUUUUAGGUGCUUUGCCCUUCAACAUAUGAUUUAUGUUAGUGAGUUGUGGAGUCAGUGCUUCCCGUGGUGAAUUUUAUUCUACAAUGGGAGUUAAUGAAAUGGAGAAGUGACAGAGGUCACAGACCAGAGUUUCUCAUGUGCAGCACUGCCAGUCCUCCUCCCCUGGCUCCUCAGCAUCAGGGACUGGCUGCUUUAUGAGCCUCAGGAUACACAGCAAAGCCACCAGCUCUUCUGAAACUUGCUACUAGGUCAGAAGAGCUUCCUUAGAGGUUUAUUUUUUCUUGGAGAUGCACUCUUUAAGAGCUCCUCCAAAAAUUCCAGUGAGAGCAGAAACAGAUAAAUGUUAAGCUUCCUUUGCAUUCCACAAGAGGUCCCAGCUGGUCUUUCU